CAGAGAAUGCUAGGGCAUAAAUGGUUUCUUCCAUGACCUGGGAUAGGGGUGACCCAAAGAGCGCAGGACAAGGCUCAUAUCAUCCCGUCUCUGGUUCCAACCUGCUGGCUGAGUGCUGGAUGCAUUGCUGGAUGAGGGUUUUUACAGUUGCAGGGGUCACAGGCAUGUGUUCCAAGCCCCACUCACAUCACUAUACCAUGCUGCUCCCGGACACCUUUGUAGGCGUGGACACACAGGUUGACCUCUUCAGUCCACUCUGCAAAUGCUUUCUGUGUCCCAUCUUUUAGAACACCCAGGAUCACCGCCAGAGGUGGCAGCCAACCACUGUCCCAGAGGUGGCACCCAGGACCACCGUCCCAGAGGUGGCACCCAGGACCACCGUCCCAGAGGUGGCACCCAGGUCCACCGUCCCAGAGGUGGCAGCCAAUCACCAGUCAAGAAAAUGCUCCACAGGCUUGUCUACAGGUGA